rnacentral:rRNA from 1 species
AGAGUUUGAUCCUGGCUCAGGACGAACGCUGGCUGCGUGCUUAACACAUGCAAGUCGAACGCUGAAGCCGACAGCUUGCUGUUGGUGGAUGAGUGGCGAACGGGUGAGUAACACGUGAGUAACCUGCCCUUGAUUUCGGGAUAAGCCUGGGAAACUGGGUCUAAUACCGGAUACGACCACCUGACGCAUGUUGGGUGGUGGAAAGUUUUUCGAUCGGGGAUGGGCUCGCGGCCUAUCAGCUUGUUGGUGGGGUAAUGGCCUACCAAGGCGAUGACGGGUAGCCGGCCUGAGAGGGCGACCGGCCACACUGGGACUGAGACACGGCCCAGACUCCUACGGGAGGCAGCAGUGGGGAAUAUUGCACAAUGGGGGAAACCCUGAUGCAGCGACGCAGCGUGCGGGAUGACGGCCUUCGGGUUGUAAACCGCUUUCAGCAGGGAAGAAGCGAAAGUGACGGUACCUGCAGAAGAAGUACCGGCUAACUACGUGCCAGCAGCCGCGGUAAUACGUAGGGUACGAGCGUUGUCCGGAAUUAUUGGGCGUAAAGAGCUCGUAGGUGGUUGGUCACGUCUGCUGUGGAAACGCAACGCUUAACGUUGCGCGUGCAGUGGGUACGGGCUGACUAGAGUGCAGUAGGGGAGUCUGGAAUUCCUGGUGUAGCGGUGAAAUGCGCAGAUAUCAGGAGGAACACCGGUGGCGAAGGCGGGACUCUGGGCUGUAACUGACACUGAGGAGCGAAAGCAUGGGGAGCGAACAGGAUUAGAUACCCUGGUAGUCCAUGCCGUAAACGUUGGGCACUAGGUGUGGGGGACAUUCCACGUUCUCCGCGCCGUAGCUAACGCAUUAAGUGCCCCGCCUGGGGAGUACGGUCGCAAGGCUAAAACUCAAAGGAAUUGACGG